rfam:Ovis aries breed Texel chromosome 2, whole genome shotgun sequence.
UCCCUGGUGGUCCAGUGGUUAAGACACCACACUCUGAAUGCAGAGGGCUGGAGUUCGAUCCCUAGUCAGGGAA